UCUCUCGCAUGCUCUCUGCUAGGCCCGAACGAAGACGGCAGGGGCUCGGGGAAUGGUGGUCAACGGCGGCAGGGGGUUCGGGCUGUUCGACGGUAGGGGGCUCGGGGCUGGGCUCGACAGCAACGACUGGUGGCUCGAGGGCUGGGCUCGAUGGUGGGUGGGGGGGGGGGGGUUCAGGUCUGGGCUCGACGGCACAGGGGUUGGGCAGAGGGAUGUUUGGCUUCGGGGCUGAAUGUUUCAAAGAACAACACAUUGUUGAAUGAUUUUACUACUAUUUUUAGAGGGAACCCGGAGUGGUCAAGGAGUCAAAUCUAAUUUGGUUAUUAACAAAUUUAAAUUUUAAGGUUAAUAUUUUGAUUGGUCUUAAAGCAUUGGAUCAGUAGCUAAUUGCAAGAGCCAUUAAUGCUAAUAGUUCUUGAUGUACAAGAUGUCUAUACUCCCUUACAGACAGAUGUUCUUGUUUCUCUAUCUGAGUACCGCCAGCAUUUAGAGUUAUUGCUGGAAAGCAUUCCAACCAUGUUUCAGAAUAGUAAAACUGCCAAAUCAGCGUUUGGUGCUGCAAUUAAGUUUUGCCAUCAACUGGCAUUGGAGCUCUUUCUGCCAAAGAAGCUGAAGGAAGAGCUAAUGUAUCUGCGAGAGAGAAGGGUAAAAGUGUCACACACGCUUCUCAUAUAUCAUUUGGUUUGUCCUUUUUAUGAAUAAUGUAAAAUUAGAACAAUUUUAUUGUAAGAUCCAUUAAUAGAGUAUCAAAUUAAAAUAUUUAGAUUGUUAUUAGGACUUAGAGGUGGUUUGAGUUUUUUUUAUGUAUUUAUUUUUUUAUUUUUAUUGAUAAUGUUGAAAGAUGUUAUAAGUUAGCUUACAUUAUAUGUUAAUGAGAACUUUAAAUUUCUUUUGA